GAAAGGGCGUACGGUGGAUGCCUAGGCACUUGAAACUGAAGAAGGACGCAACAAACGGCGAAACGCGGCGGGGAGCUGUACGUAAGCAAAGAUCCGCCGGUAUCCGAAUGGGGGAACCCGGCAUGCGUAAUAGCAUGUCAUCCGCAGAUGAACAAAUAGUCUGCGAGAGAGGUACCCGGGGAACUGAAACAUCUAAGUACCCGGAGGAAAAGAAAACAACAGUGAUUCCCUGAGUAGCGGCGAGCGAAAGGGGAGGAGCCCAAACCAGACCGAGGUCUGGGGUUGAAGGACCGCGAUACGGCAAGAAUCAUGGUAGGAGAACGGCAUUGAAAGGCCGACCGGAGAGGGUGCAAGUCCCGUAUCCGAAACCGUGAGGAAGCCCAGCGGGAUCCUGAGUACGGCGAGACACGAGAAAUCUUGUCGGAAGCAGGCGGGACCAUCCGUCAAGGCUAAAUAUAAGCAAGUGACCGAUAGUGAACCAGUACCGUGAGGGAAAGGUGAAAAGAACCGCGGGAGCGGAGUGAAACAGAACCUGAAACCGUAUGCUUACAAGAAGUCAGAGCACGUUAAGGUGUGAUGGCGUGCCUUUUGUAGAAUGAACCGGCGAGUUAUGUUAUCGUGCGAGGUUAAGCAGGAGAUGCGGAGCCGAAGCGAAAGCGAGUCUUAAGAGGGCGGCAGUACGAUGACAUAGACCCGAAACCGUGUGAUCUAGCCAUGACCAGGUUGAAGUUCAGGUGAAACUGAAUGGAGGACCGAACCGACCCCCGUUGAAAAGUUGGCGGAUGAGUUGUGGCUAGGGGAGAAAUUCCAAUCGAACACGGAUAUAGCUGGUUCUCCCCGAAAUAGCUUUAGGGCUAGCGUCGAGGAUGAGUCUUGUGGAGGUAGAGCACUGAAUGUACGAUGGCCCCAUCCCGGGGUACUGAGUAUAAUCAAACUCCGAAUGCCAUGAGAUAUUCCCGGCAGUCAGACCGUGGGUGAUAAGGUCCAUGGUCAAAAGGGAAACAGCCCAGACCGCCAGUUAAGGUCCCAAAAUGUAUGCUAAGUGGAAAAGGAUGUGGGGAUGCACAGACAACUAGGAGGUUGGCUCAGAAGCAGCCAUCCUUCAAAGAGUGCGUAACAGCUCACUAGUCGAGUGACCCUGCGCCGAAAAUGUACCGGGGCUAAGCAUACUACCGAAGCUGCGGAUUUGUAGUAAUACAAGUGGUAGGGGAGCGUUCCAUGCACGUGGAAGCCAUACCGAAAGGAGUGGUGGAGAGCAUGGAAGUGAGAAUGCCGGUGUGAGUAGCGAGAUGCAGGUGAGAAUCCUGCACACCGAUAGCCCAAGGAUUCCAGGGGAAGGUUCGUCCGCCCUGGGUAAGUCGGGACCUAAGGCGAGGCCGAAAGGCGUAGUCGAUGGAAAACAGGCAGAUAUUCCUGUACCCGCGAUGGAAAUGAAGGAAUGACGGAGAAGGCUAGCAUGAGCCACUUAUUGGAUUGUGGUCGAAGCGAAUAGCAGGUGCAUAGUCAAAUGCGUGCACGGAAUGUAAAACGUGAUAGGUAAGCGAAACCUUUGGGGAGUAGCGAAGCAUGCGAGGCCAGCUUCCAGGAAAAGUUUCUAGUGCUGAUUCCAUAGCGGCCCGUACCAAAACCGACACAGGUGGGCAAGGAGAGUAUCCUGAGGUGAGCGAGAGAACUGUUGCCAAGGAACUCGGCAAAAUGACUCCGUAAGUUAGCGAGAAGGAGUGCUUAUGAAAGUAAGCCGCAGUGAAGAGGCCCAAGCGACUGUUUAACUAAAACACAGCUCUCUGCGAAGUCGCAAGACGAAGUAUAGGGGGUGACGCCUGCCCGGUGCUGGAAGGUUAAGAGGAUUUGUCAGUUUCGACGAAGCAAUGAAUUGAAGCCCCAGUGAACGGCGGCCGUAACUAUAACGGUCCUAAGGUAGCGAAAUUCCUUGUCAGGUAAGUUCUGACCCGCACGAAAGGCGUAACGAUUUGGGCGCUGUCUCGGCAGCAGACUCGGUGAAAUCUUAGUACCUGUGAAAAUGCAGGUUACCCGCAACUAGACGGAAAGACCCCAUGGAGCUUUACUGCAGCCUGAUAUUGGAUUUUGAUCAGAGAUGUACAGGAUAGGUGGGAGACGAAGAAGGAUGCACGCCAGUGUAUCUGGAGUCGACGUUGGGAUACCACUCUUGUCUGAUUGGAGUUCUAACCUGCGUCCAUGAAGCUGGACGGGGGACCGUGUCAGGCAGGCAGUUUGACUGGGGCGGUCGCCUCCCAAAGAGUAACGGAGGCGCCCAAAGGUACGCUCAGAUUGGACGGAAAUCAAUCGGCGAGUGCAAAUGCAGAAGCGUGCUUGACUGUGAGACAAACAGGUCGAACAGGGACGAAAGUCGGGAUUAGUGAUCCGGCGGUGCCGAAUGGAAGGGCCGUCGCUCAACGGAUAAAAGCUACCCUGGGGAUAACAGGCUGAUCUCGCCCAAGAGUUCACAUCGACGGCGAGGUUUGGCACCUCGAUGUCGGCUCAUCGCAUCCUGGAGCUGAAUUCGGUUCCAAGGGUUGGGCUGUCCGCCCAUUAAAGCGGUACGCGAGCUGGGUUCAGAACGUCGUGAGACAGUUCGGUCCCUAUCUGUUGUGGGCGUAGGAGAUUUGAGGAGAGCUGUCCUUAGUACGAGAGGACCGGGAUGGACCUACCGCUGGUGCACCGGUUGUUGUGCCAACAGCAUAGCCGGGUAGCUAAGUAGGGAAGGGAUAAGCGCUGAAAGCAUCUAAGCGCGAAGCCUACUCCAAGAUGAGAUCUCCCAUACGCAAGUAGUAAGACCCCUUGAAGACGACGAGGUAGAUAGGUCAGGGAUGGAAGCGCAGCGAUGCGUGGAGUUGACUGAUACUAAUAGGUCGAGGACUUAAUC
rnacentral:rRNA from 1 species